AUUGACUGACUGUAGCAAGUAAGUAGAAGUUUUUUAAUUAUAUUUUGUGAUUUUUUUUUAAAUAAAUACAAUAUUUGGUUGUUGUUUUAUUUAAUUUAAAAUGCAGAUUUUUAAAACUUUUUACAGAAUGACACCUGUCUUACCGAUUACCGUCUUUAUGGUUUAUGUGGUGUUCGGGACUGUAUUUUCGUUACCAUGUUUAACAAACAAAUCCAAGCAAGAUUUUAACAAAGCCAGAAAUGCAUUGAAAAGUCUUGAAAAUUUCCUGAAAAAUCAAGCUAGUUCUAUCAACUCAAAGGUACAGGCUUUAGACAAGGAUAUGACAUUGAUGGAAGAAGACUUUAAAAGUAAGA
rnacentral:lncRNA from 1 species